CCUUCAACACUAAUGAAGGAGGCAAUCAGGUGAUGGAAAAUUCUACAGAUCCAAAGUCACUUAGUCAAGAAAAUGUUGGACAGCUUCUGGACCUUUUACAGAAGAUGAAUCAGAAGACUGGAGGAAAGUUUGAUGCUAAUGCAAACAUUACCUGUGCUGGUAAGGCUAAGUUUCUCAGUUCACAUGCUUGCUUGUUUAAAAGUGACAGUACUUCAUGGAUUUUAGAUAGUGGAGCAUCUGAGCAUAUGACUUUUAAUAGAAUUUGUUUUUCUAGUCUUAAUCUUCUACCCAAACCUAUUUUGGUCACCCUUCCUAAUUCUCAUAGAGUAACUGUUACUCAUUCAGGAUCUGUUUAUCUUUUGCCUGAUCUUCUUCUUCAUAAUGUCCUCUACAUUCCUUCUUUUAAGUUCAAUCUCCUUUCUGUUCAUAAAUUGUGCAAUCAACUUCAGAAGUUUCUUCUUUUCACUCCUAACAAUUGUUUCAUGUUGCAGGGCCCUUCACUGAAGAGCCCUCUGGUGCUUGGUAAGGAACAAGAUGGUCUAUAUGUUUUCAAGUCAUCUCAAUCAACAGCUAGUACCAAGAAUGUUUUCCAAGCAGCUGC
rnacentral:lncRNA from 1 species